GGUGGCGGCGGCGGCGGCGGGCGCGGCGAAAGCGGCGGCGGGCUGUCAUUCAUUCAUCGAUGAGGCGGGAAAGCACUGAUGGCAACGCACGCCACCCCACACCCACGCGAGGCCGAGGCUGUGUGUACUCCUGCCCAAGGCGGGCGAUGGAAGGCAACAGUAGGGGAAGGCAGCCAACGUUUUCCUCAAAAGAAGGAGGUGGCGGCGGGGGGGGGGGGGGGAUUCCUUUCCUUUAGAAAAUAAAUGAGUAAGCAGACGGGGAGGCAAGCAGCGCACGUUAGGGAGAAGUUUUGGGAGCCUGCGCUCGCCGCCUCCUUGGGGGUUUCCUCCUCGCCCCCCCCCCCAGGCGCCCCGCAGCCCCAUCCAGGGUCGCCCCGUCGGAAGAGCCACCCCACGCCCCUCGGGGGGGCCACCAGCCGUACCCCAGGCAGCCGCCUCCAUCUCAGCCCUCAUCCGGCAACGGCAAAACGGGGGGUGAAGCCGUCGCGGUUACACCUCCCCGGAGCAUCACCGCUCCUCGACGGUCGCUGGUCCCCCUGGGAAUGCCUGGCGCUCCCGCCCUCCUUGGAAAAGUGCAGGCAGGCUGCCUGCUCUUCCCUGCUUGCAGGGCAGCGAGGGACGCUCCUCCACCACGCCGGGAGAGGAAACGGGGCGGGGGAUGCCAGCGGACCCCCCCCCACCCACACCCCCACACCCCCCCUCCCGACCCUCCCCGGCCACCUAAAUCCCCUUGACCAAACCACAUCUGCGCAUCCCCGUCGCCGAGCCACGUUCAAAGGAAGCCCCGUCCUGGUCCGGCAUUUCCUGGGCCAGGCUCCAGGUCCGUCCCCCCCCCCGCGCUACUCACGUGGGGAAAACUCGCAGGAUUUGGCCCACGGCUGCCAAAAGCUGGACAGGGGCUGUAGCGCAGGAGCCGGGCCAGGGGGGAGCCCCGUCUUCUCCCUCCCUCGCCCCUCCAAGGGGGAGCGAGACCCGCCGGUGCCCCCCCCCGCCUCCCCGCCAGGAGCCGAACGGCUGCUCCCGCCUCGCCUGGCCGUGAGGAGGGUUUCAGUGAUGCUGCAAGGCAAGGAACGAGAAUAAAUAAUCCCCGGGUUUUAAAAGGGGCUGCUCGAUGGUUUUAUUGCACAGUAAAAACUUCUCCUCGCAAACUAGCCGUACGUCUAUAGACGUAUUUAUAUACGUAUAUUUUCUAUACGUCCGUCCCACGAGUGCCCUCCUCCCUCCCCGAGUUCUGGGCCCGUUGCUGGACCGAGCUCCCGAGUUGUAAUGGUUUGAUGGGAGAUGCUGCGGAGGUGAAGAACAGCAUCACGGCCCCGCCGUACCUUGCGCACCCCUCCUCGUCCCGCUCUUGUUAAACGCAGCGUGAUACGUAUCUGUCAUCGAUUUAAUACGUCUUAAUUCAAAUAUAUCCCCCCGAUCAAUUUCUUUUUAUGAGGGGCUAUAAAACAAAGAAAAUAUUUUAUAGCUGGGUAAUAGGCAGCUGACCUGCGACUGUGGGGAGGGAGGGGUUGGCCGAGACUCCCGUGGAAAUUCGCCC